AAUCGGCAGCCUACACAUGCAAGUCGAACGGUAACAUAAGGUGCUUGCACUUUGAUGACGAGUGGCGCACGGGUGCGCAACGCGUAUAGAACCUACCCUGUACAGGGGGAUAGCCCAGAGAAAUUUGGAUUAAUACCCCGUGGUAAAUAUGAAUGGCAUCAUUUAUAUUUUAAAGUUUUCGGACGGUACGGGAUGGCUAUGCGUCCUAUUAGUUAGAUGGUGAGGUAACGGCUCACCAUGGCAGCGAUAGGUAGGGGCCCUGAGAGGGGGAUCCCCCACACUGGAACUGAGACACGGUCCAGACUCCUACGGGAGGCAGCAGUGGGGAAUAUUGCACAAUGGAGGAAACUCUGAUGCAGCGACGCCGCGUGAAUGAUGAAGGCCUUCGGGUUGUAAAGUUCUGUCCUUGGGGAAGAUAAUGACGGUACCCGAGGAGGAAGCCCCGGCUAACUACGUGCCAGCAGCCGCGGUAAUACGUAGGGGGCGAGCGUUGUCCGGAAUUAUUGGGCGUAAAGGGUUCGCAGGCGGUCUGAUAAGUCAGAUGUGAAAGGCGUAGGCUCAACCUACGUAAGCAUUUGAAACUGUCAGACUUGAGUUAAGGAGAGGAAAGUGGAAUUCCUAGUGUAGCGGUGAAAUGCGUAGAUAUUAGGAGGAAUACCAGUGGCGAAGGCGACUUUCUGGACUUAUACUGACGCUGAGGAACGAAAGCGUGGGGAGCAAACAGGAUUAGAUACCCUGGUAGUCCACGCCGUAAACGAUGAGUGCUAGGUGUUGGGGGUCAAACCUCGGUGCCGCAGCUAACGCAUUAAGCACUCCGCCUGGGGAGUACGUACGCAAGUAUGAAACUCAA
rnacentral:rRNA from 1 species